rnacentral:lncRNA from 1 species
UAAGGGUUCAAGUUAGGUAGGGUUAAGGUUAGAAUCCAUGGUAGGGACGUUUUAAGGAUUCCUGAUAGCACUAACUAUUAGCAAAAUACUUAUAUCAAAGAGUUGUAUUGUUCUAUUUGCGUUUAUAUUGGCAUAAAUAAAGAUGGGUUCUGACUAGAGAGUGUACAGCUACGACCGGAAUUGACUUUUUCGUAACAGGUUACAAGAAUUUAAAGGCGUUACAUGGUCAAUCUGACAUCUGCAUUGCAGGUUUGAAGAAUUUAAAGGCGUUACAUGGUCAAUCUGAAAUCUGCAUUGGCCGUGCAGCAUUUACGGUUAUAGGGCCUCUGCAGAAAUCCGAGCAUUCAUACAUCUUGCGCUUUGCAGCACAGCUCAGAGCUGUUGUGAUGGAUGUUGUCAAGGAAGUGAGCUUGUGUUUACACAGGACCUCCCGCCCCCACCUACCAUCAAACAAUCAUGUCAACGCGGAGCUAUACAGAGCCCUCUGCAUUGUUACAAAAUUUGGGAGGCCCACAGCCAUGCGGUACUGAGCUCCGAAGUCCCCGCGAUUGCGUCACCUCCAUACGGAGUCUCCGACAACAUUUUCGGAGCAAGUAUAAGUUGGCUUUUACGCAUCAGGUGAUGAGACUGAGGUUAAGGUUAGAGUUAAGGUAUGCUAAAUUGCUCUCCUGACCUGCUACCAAAAGUAUCUUCCGGUCGUAGCUGUACUCCCUCUAAUCACAACCAUAAAGAUGGUUGUUACCACAGACACAAAGUCAAAAAUGUCUCAGCCUCCAGUAUUUAUGCUGCAGUAGUUUAUGUGUCGGGGGGCUAGGGUCAGUCUGUUACAUCUGGAGUAUUUCUCUUGUCUUAUCCGGUGUCCUGUGUGUAUUUAAAUAUGCUCUCUCUAAUUCUCUCUUUCUGUCUUUCUCUCGGAGGACCUGAGCCCUAGGACCAUGCCUCAGGACUACCUGGUAUGAUGACUCCUUGCUGUCCCCAGUCCACCUGGCCGGAGUUUUUCCUAGGGAGUUUUUCCUAGCCACCGUGCUUCUUUCACAUGCUUUGCUUGCUGUUUGGGGUUUUAGGCUGGGUUUCUGUACAGCACUUUGAGAAUAUCAGCUGAUGUACGAAGGGCUAUAUAAAAAUAAAUUUGAUUUGAUUUUGAUUUGAUUUGAUAUAUUUCUUAAAAAGUAAUGGAAACAAAAAUUUGCUUUUUUUGUCUUAAUUUAAGGUUAGGCAUAAAGUUAGCAGUGUGGUUAAGGUCAGUUGUAAGAAGAUCAAAUGUAGAAAUUGGCGGGGUUUCGCCAUAAUGACUUUGUGGCUGUGGUAAC